UCGCGGACAUUUCCUCAAUGCACUUUAUGCACUUUAUGCAUUAUAACCACCUUCGGACUCUCCGAAGCUUACACACUCGACAAUCAGUCGAUUCCCAACGAAGUCAAAUCCCCGGAUUUCAAGAAUUCACUUCCCUUACAUUCUCCCCACCUUAAAAGAGUUUCGUCCUCGAAACGAACUCGACGAUACCAAAUCGAUCUUUAAUUUCAUACCUCAGCUCAAUCCCCGAAUAAGUGAGGAUGAUUCGCUUUCAUCUCCUCCUCGA
rnacentral:lncRNA from 1 species